AGUCGAGGGGUACAUUGGUGCUUGCACCAGAUGACGACCGGCGCACGGGUGCGUAACGCGUAUAGAACCUACCUUUUACAGGGGAAUAGCCUUUAGAAAUGAAGAUUAAUGCCCCAUAGUAUUACGACUUGGCAUCAAGUUGUAUUUAAAGAUUCAUCGGUAAAAGAUGGCUAUGCGUCCUAUUAGUUAGUUGGUAAGGUAACGGCUUACCAAGACAUCGAUAGGUAGGGGUCCUGAGAGGGAGAUCCCCCACACUGGUACUGAGACACGGACCAGACUCCUACGGGAGGCAGCAGUGAGGAAUAUUGGACAAUGGAGCCAACUCUGAUCCAGCCAUGCCGCGUGCAGGAAGACGGCCCUAUGGGUUGUAAACUGCUUUUAUACAGGAAGAAACAUCCCGACGUGUCGGGACUUGACGGUACUGUAAGAAUAAGGACCGGCUAACUCCGUGCCAGCAGCCGCGGUAAUACGGAGGGUCCGAGCGUUAUCCGGAAUCAUUGGGUUUAAAGGGUCCGCAGGCGGUCAAUUAAGUCAGAGGUGAAAUCCCAUAGCUUAACUAUGGAACUGCCUUUGAUACUGGUUGACUUGAGUCAUAUGGAAGUAGAUAGAAUGUGUAGUGUAGCGGUGAAAUGCAUAGAUAUUACACAGAAUACCGAUUGCGAAGGCAGUCUACUACGUAUGUACUGACGCUCAUGGACGAAAGCGUGGGGAGCGAACAGGAUUAGAUACCCUGGUAGUCCACGCCGUANACGAUGGAUACUAGUUGUUGGGAUUUAUCUCAGUGACUAAGCGAAAGUGAUAAGUAUCCCACCUGGGGAGUACGGUCGCAAGA
rnacentral:rRNA from 1 species